rnacentral:tRNA from 1 species
GGCUUGCUGGUCUAGUGGUAUGAUUCUCGCUUCGGGUGCGAGAGGUCACGGGUUCGAUUCCCGUGCAAGCCA